rnacentral:rRNA from 1 species
ACGGCUCAGUAACACGUGGAUAACCUGCCCUUGGGUCCGGCAUAACCCCGGGAAACUGGGGAUAAUUCCGGAUAACGCACAUAUGCUGGAAUGCUUUAUGCGUAAAAUGGAUUCGUCUGCCCAAGGAUGGGUCUGCGGCCUAUCAGGUAGUAGUGGGUGUAAUGUACCUACUAGCCUACAACGGGUACGGGUUGUGAGAGCAAGAGCCCGGAGAUGGAUUCUGAGACAUGAAUCCAGGCCCUACGGGGCGCAGCAGGCGCGAAAACUUUACAAUGCGGGAAACCGUGAUAAGGGGACACCGAGUGCCAGCAUCAUAUGCUGGCUGUCCAGGUGUGUAAAAUACACCUGUUAGCAAGGGCCGGGCAAGACCGGUGCCAGCCGCCGCGGUAACACCGGCGGCCCGAGUGGUGAUCGUGAUUAUUGGGUCUAAAGGGUCCGUAGCCGGUUUGGUCAGUCCUCCGGGAAAUCUGACGGCUUAACCGUUAGGCUUUCGGGGGAUACUGCCAGGCUUGGAACCGGGAGAGGUAAGAGGUACUACAGGGGUAGGAGUGAAAUCUUGUAAUCCCUGUGGGACCACCUGUGGCGAAGGCGACUUACCAGAACGGGUUCGACGGUGAGGGACGAAAGCUGGGGGCACGAACCGGAUUAGAUACCCGGGUAGUCCCAGCCGUAAACGAUGCUCGCUAGGUGUCAGGCAUGGCGCGACCGUGUCUGGUGCCGCAGGGAAGCCGUGAAGCGAGCCACCUGGGAAGUACGGCCGCAAGGCUGAAACUUAAAGGAAUUGGCGGGGGAGCAC